AACGGGUAUGGUUGGUGGAGACACCACCCACUAGAACUGAUUAUUUGCAGUUGAUAAGGACGGAAGUAACAAUGACUAAUGGAAGAAAGACUUUUUGUGGUCUAGCCACUGACCACACAGGACACAGCCAGUUCCAGCGAUGACACAACAGCAGCCACAUGGAGACUCAUCAACACUUAUCCAACAGUAUACGGCGAUCUCUAUCUUCGUCGCCUCCAUCUUCUUAACAGCGUCAACAUCAUCUCUCUACGUACACAGCAACCAGCAAUACUCGCAUAGG